UAUCGCAGGGAACCUGCGAUUUCGUCCGAUCAAAAAAUCGCGUCGCAGCUCACUCGAUUUUCUAGCGAUCAGCGAUGAAGCUCCGGUCUCUUCCUUUCUCGCAUUCUCUCCUCUGUUUCCGGUUGGCGCAGCAAAACGAGGAGCUACGAUCGCUAUUUCCUGCUUUUGGACAGUCGACUCGUCGUUUCUCUGCUCCUCCAGCGAAACCAGCCAAGGAUCGGCCGGUUGAGCUCUUCCAUUCCCUCUAGCGACCUCACCGGCCACGAUCCUCUCCAGCUCUGGCCAAGCUAAUGACGGCAGAAUCAGAUCUUGGGUAGUAGAGCAAAUUUCGGUCAUUUUAACCGAAAAUUUCCAAUUUCCAGCUCGUUUUACAGCUAGGUCAAUAAACUGAAUCAUGAGACCCAGUUAAUUAUGACAAGGAAUAUAUAAGUUAUAGAUGUAUAUGAUUGUUAAUAGUAUACAGUUGGAUAGUUUUAACUAGUAGAAUUUAUGUUAAGCAAAUAGCUAUUUUCACUAAUUUGCUUUUUUAUUUAUUUUGCUAGCAUUAUAUAGUAA